CGGCCCUCAUGGACUGAGAUUGCCCACCCCUGCUCUAGGAACAACAUGUUCCUGCCCUUGGCGCUACAUACCUGUGGAAAUCACCCACCUGUCUCUGAUGAUCUCAUCAGCAACCACUGCUUAAGGCGGUGGCUGGUUGACGUUCAUCGCUGGAUCGUUGAAUUACCUAACCUUCCCUGGAUUCCUUCCCUGAUGUGUGGUGAGCCUGCCUGAGUUGUGUGAAAGAAGAGCGAGUUGAAAAGUAACGGAUGAUUGGACGCCUUUCCCCUGGAUCUCUGGAGCCCCAUUUCCACUUUGUACAAUGUAUAUAGCACUACUGGCUCCUGUAAAUAAAAACACUGAAUUGUGAAUUUACGGAGUUCUGCCCUUGCGUCCAC